rnacentral:lncRNA from 1 species
AAUACAUUUCUAUCUAAAACUCAGGUAUUAUACUAGCACUGAAUUAUAAUUAAUAACACCACUGAAGAAGCAGAACUUGCUGCUGGUAUGCUGGUACACUUCUGCUGCAAGGCAAUACCAAAGAAUAUUUUUCUUUAACAGGGAAAAAAGGCUCCAGGACCCUAGCAGUGUCUUGUAUAUUAACAUCAAAUCACAGCUUGGUUGGGCUUCUGUAAUCUACCUUUAACUAGAUCCCUUAUUAUUUUCUUUCAUCUUGCAGAAGGGACACUUACCUGGUCCACUGAAGCGGAAGUAAUUGUGAGGCUACAGAGGAAUGAUUUCUUUCCUAUGAGGCAACCGAGACAAGAACCCAGGGUCCAGAUCAGUGGAUGAAAAGAAAAAGGAUCUAAGUGGACAAGAAAUUGCACCACUACAAUGCUGGGAAAAGAAAAAGUCAAGGAAAUGCAAAAAUUACACCUCUUAAAAAAUAAAUUAUUUCUGUUAAAUCAUCCACAGUCACAAAAGAUCAGCAUGAGGGCCCAUCUACAAGGAGGGACUGCUGCAAAAACAGCUCUACUCAUAUAGCUCAGCUGUAGGCCAAGUUCUCCAGCCAACAGAGCUGUCCUGGCAAAACAAAACAAAACAAAACCACAACUGGUGCGUGGACCCAGCGUGAAGCACGCAUUUGGAUGGAAAAUUUCAGCUGAUGUUUAGACAGCCAUAAGGAUCUGUGAACACAGCCUUUGUACUGGGAAAUGUCAGGCAUCGCUGCAGCAGUGCUACCACCCCUGUAUUUACUUUAAGUAAAAUGAACACAAGCAUCAAUGAGCUCUUGCCACAUCCAUUCUGAAUGCACAGCACCUGACAGUUUUUUCACAUGGAAGCACAGGUUCAGCGUUUCUUGGACACACAGGGAGGAGCCCUGCAUGGCACAUCACAUCUUUGGUUAACAGGCCAGCUCUUUGCUAUGGUUCCCAGCUUGUGAUGUGAAAUCAGAAAAAAAAAAAUCUCAAG